rnacentral:tRNA from 1 species
GCGGGUGUAGCCGAACGGCAUAGGCGUUAGUCUUAGGAACUAAAAUUUGGAGGUUCGAAUCCUCUCACCCGCACCA